rnacentral:rRNA from 1 species
CGGCGGACGGGUGAGUAACACGUGGAUAACCUACCUAUAAGACUGGGAUAACUUCGGGAAACCGGAGCUAAUACCGGAUAAUAUAUUGAACCGCAUGGUUCAAUAGUGAAAGACGGUUUUGCUGUCACUUAUAGAUGGAUCCGCGCGCAUUAGCUAGUUGGUAAGGUAACGGCUUACCAAGGCAACGAUGCGUAGCCGACCUGAGAGGGUGAUCGGCCACACUGGAACUGAGACACGGUCCAGACUCCUACGGGAGGCAGCAGG